rnacentral:rRNA from 1 species
UGAGGAAUAUUGGUCAAUGGACGCGAGUCUGAACCAGCCAAGUAGCGUGAAGGAUGAAGGUCCUACGGAUUGUAAACUUCUUUUAUAAGGGAAUAAAGUCACCCACGUGUGGGUGUUUGUAUGUACCUUAUGAAUAAGCAUCGGCUAACUCCGUGCCAGCAGCCGCGGUAAUACGGAGGAUGCGAGCGUUAUCCGGAUUUAUUGGGUUUAAAGGGAGCGUAGACGGGCCGUUAAGUCAGCUGUGAAAGUUUGAGGCUCAACCUUAAAAUUGCAGUUGAUACUGGCGUCCUUGAGUACGGUUGAGGCAGGCGGAAUUCGUGGUGUAGCGGUGAAAUGCUUAGAUAUCACGAAGAACCCCGAUUGCGAAGGCAGCCUGCUAAACCGCCACUGACGUUGAGGCUCGAAAGUGUGGGUAUCAAACAGGAUUAGAUACCCUGGUAGUCCACACGGUAAACGAUGGAUACUCGCUGUUGGCGAUAGACUGUCAGCGGCUUAGCGAAAGCGUUAAGUAUCCCACCUGGGGAGUACGCCGGCAACGGUGAAACUCAAAGGAAUUGACGGGGGCCCGCACAAGCGGAGGAACAUGUGGUUUAAUUCGAUGAUACGCGAGGAACCUUACCCGGGCUUGAAUUGCAGACGAAUUGCUUGGAAACAGGCAAGCCGCAAGGCGUCUGUGAAGGUGCUGCAUGGUUGUCGUCAGCUCGUGCCGUGAGGUGUCGGCUUAAGUGCCAUAACGAGCGCAACCCUCGUGUUCAGUUACUAGCAGGUUAUGCUGAGGACUCUGGACAGACUGCCAUCGUAAGAUGUGAGGAAGGUGGGGAUGACGUCAAAUCAGCACGGCCCUUACGUCCGGGGCUACACACGUGUUACAAUGGGGGGUACAGCAGGCAGCUACCGGGCGACCGGAUGCCAAUCCCGAAAGCCUCUCUCAGUUCGGACUGGAGUCUGCAACCCGACUCCACGAAGCUGGAUUCGCUAGUAAUCGCGCAUCAGCCACGGCGCGGUGAAUACGUUCCC